GCCCCCGUAGCUCAGAGGUAGAGCGCCUUCCUGGUAAGAAGGAGGUUCCCGGGUUCAAUUCCCGGCGGGGGCU
rnacentral:tRNA from 1 species